ACAGCCGCCGGAUAAAAUCGUCCUUCGUGUGUGAUGCUAGAUGAAGCAAUCGCAAUUUUCACACAAUUCCGAUAAGUUACGAUAAGCUUCGAAUAAUGGUAAGAUUCAGUUAACCAGCAAGAGCGGGUAGUCCGGGGAGCAGGAAGGAUCGGGAAGAUGAACUACACCUUGAUGGAACGGAAUUCAAUUGAAAUAAAACGAAGGGAUAUGGCGAAAUAUUUGUUUUAAAAGAAGAAGAUUCCCAGAAUUUUAGAGGGCAGCCGGAAUUGUUUGAUAAAUUCUUCGCCCGUAAAUCGGAAGGAUCCAUCGUUCAGUGCUCGGGAUAUGUUGAGGGCUUCGCAGGAGAGAAAUUUCCCUUGGUUGGAGCUAGCCGAUGUUCACAAUGACACAACCGGGGGAUUACGAGCUACGAAUAUACUAUUUUAUAUGAACUGCCCCAAACCACCAGCUGCUUUCUGGCUCUACUGCAUCCGCCCAAAGAACCUGGACAAGCUCCGGAGGCCAAGUUACAAAAAAUACGUUUUCAUGACGUUAAGGAUGCAACGAAAAGCAGCCGUUAAAGUACAUUAUAGCGUGGGUGGAAAUCUCGGGUAAAAGGAACACAGAACUGAAAGCAGGACCAAUGACUGGAUGACGAGAUAGUUAUAAUUUUGUUGUUUCCAAAGAGCAGCCGCUAAGACGAUGGU